GGUGUUGUGAAAACCACUGCUAACUCAAACCCAAGAUGGGAAAGGAAAAGACUCAUAUUAACAUUGUCAUCAUUGGACACGUAGAUUCCAGCAAGUCCACCACUACUGGCCAUCUGAUCUAUAAAUGUGGGGGCAUCAACAAGAGAACCAGCGAGAAAUUUGAGAAGGAGGCUGCUGAGAUGGGGAAGGGCUCCUUCAAGUAUGCCUGGGUCUUGGAUAAACUGAAAGCCGAACGGGAGCGCGGUAUCACCAUUGAUAUCUCCCUGUGGAAAUUCGAGACCAGCAAGUAUUAUGUGACCAUCAUUGAUGCCCCAGGGCACAGAGACUUCAUCAAAAACAUGAUUACAGGCACAUCUCAGGCUGACCGUGCUAACCUGAUUGUUGCUGCUGAUGUUGGUGAAUUUGAAGCAGGCAUCUCCAAGAAUGGACAGACCUGUGAGCAUGCCCUUCUGGCCUACACACUGGGUGUGAAACAGCUGAUUGUUGGUGUUAACAAAAUGGAUUCCACUGAGCCACCCUACAGCCAGAAAAGAUACGAGGAAAUUGUUAAAGAAUUCAGCACCUACAUUUGUUCUCAAGCCCGGCAUGAUGCUCACCUUUGCUCCAGUCAAUAUUGCAACUGAAGUAAAGUCUGUUGAAAUGCACCAUGAAGCUUUGAGAGAAGCUCUUCCUGGGGACAAUGUGGGCUUCAACGUCAAGAACGUGUCUGUCAAAGAUGUUCGCCGUGGCAAUGUGGCUCGUGACAGAAAAAAUGAUCCACCAAUGGAAGCAGCUGGCUUCAGAGCUCAGGUGAUUAUCCUGAACGACUCAGGCCAGAUCAGUGCUGGAUAUGCACCUGUGCUGGAUUGUCACACAGCUCACAUUGCUUGCAAAUUUGCUGAGCUGAAGGUGAAGAUGGAUCGUCUUUCUGGGAAAAAGCGGGAAGAUGGCCCCAAGUUUUUGAAAUCUGGUGAUGCUGCCAUCGUUGAUAUGAUUCCUGGCAAGCCAAUGUGUGUUGAGAGCUUCUCUGACUGCCCUCUUCUGGGCCAUUUCACUGCUGAUGACAUGAGACAGACAGUUGCUUUGGGUGUCAUCAAAGCAAUGGACAAGAAGGCAGCUGGAGCUGGCAAAGUCACCAAGUCGUACCAGAAAGCUCAGAGGCUAAAUGAAUAUUAUUUCCCACCCCCGCCACCCCAGUCUUAAUCAGUGGUGGAAGAACGGUCUCAGAACUGUUUGUCUCAACUGGCCAUUUAAGUUUAAUAGUAAAAGACUGGUUAAUGAUUACAAU